UACGUAGGGGGCGAGCGUUAUCCGGAUUUAUUGGGUUUAAAGGGUGCGUAGGCGGGAUGCCAAGUCAGCGGUAAAAAUGCGGUGCUCAACGCCGUCGAGCCGUUGAAACUGGCGCUCUUGAGUGGGCGAGAAGUAUGCGGAAUGCGUGGUGUAGCGGUGAAAUGCAUAGAUAUCACGCAGAACUCCGAUUGCGAAGGCAGCAUACCGGCGCCCUACUGACGCUGAGGCACGAAAGCGUGGGUAUCGAACAGG
rnacentral:rRNA from 1 species